UGGCCCCUCAGCCCGUUUCCCUGAAAAGGGGGGGUGAAAGGAUUUGUGGUACUGUAAAAAGGAUUUGUUGGAUUGUUACGGCACUCUUUGGCCCAGUGCCGCCCCUUAUGGCAGCGAGGGCAAAUACCGGGGACUGACCCAACUCUAGGAGGAGGAGCUGUGGUAGGGCAUUGGCGAGCGAAAUGGCCUGGCUGUCUACAUUUAAAGCAGUUACGCAUAGGCGGUGCGCCCCUGGGGAAGGAAGGAGGAUAAGAAGCCGGGGGAGUUUGAACAGCGGCACCUACAGCUAAAAGGGCUUGGACUUUGGAUGUAAAAGGAUCGACAUCUCUACACAUUCUCAGCAUUUCAUCAAGAGUUUUGUCUCGAGUCUUACCGCGGAGGACGGCUCGACAUGCCGAAUUGGCGUUUUCAUAGGCUAGCUGUUUUACAAUCUUAUCAUUGGCAGCCGCGGAACCAAGGGUCCUUUCGGCGGCCUCUAACAGUCUGCUAACAAAUUCGCUAUAGUCUUCUUGCGAGCUUUGAGUGAUCUUAGUUAGAGGAGUGUUAGCAGUCCUGGAAGCAGGGAGUGAUAUCCAAGCGCCCAAAGCGGCAUCUUUCACUUGAGAUAAAAGACCAAGGGGAAGGCGCUGCUGCCUGGUUUCAGAGAUAUAUCUGCCCUGUCCCGUAAGCUUAUCAAAAGUCUAGGACGCUGUUGGGGAAUGAGGGUCUUUUACAUUGGCAGCAGCGAUGGUCUGACAGCGGUCAGCAAAAUCUGCCUUCCAAGUUAAAAACUGACCACGGGUAAGCACAGCCUGGACUAUACGCAGCCAUUCACCUGGGAGUAAAUGUCCUCCUCGAGACAGCGAAUCAAGAACAGAAAGGGUAAAAGGGGCAUUGGGGCCAUAAGCUUUAACGGCCGCGUUCAGCUCUUUUAAGCUUUUGAAAUGGAUUUUGUGAAAUUCUCUAGGGCCAUCAGCAGGCUCGGCCGGCUCUGGCUCAGCCUGCUCCUCUCCCUCACUUUCUAUUUCCUGAGCAGCAGGGGCGUCUUCGCCGUCGCUUUCAAGAUCGCCCUCUUCCGGACUAUGUGUUGUGGAGGUGGGGCCAGAGCGGGCGGAGGCCCGGGAUGAAUUUCGGGGCCAUUAAUGAUAAACCACGGACAGACUUCAUCAACAAAAAUAAAAAACUUUACCAAGUCUUUCUUUUUAACUCGAA